rnacentral:rRNA from 1 species
GGCUCAGAACGAACGCUGGCGGCGUGCUUAACACAUGCAAGUCGAACGAACCUUCGGGUUAGUGGCGGACGGGUGAGUAACGCGUGAGAAUCUGCCCUCAGGAGGGGGAUAACGGUUGGAAACGACCGCUAAUACCCCAUAUGCCGAGAGGUGAAAAGAAAUUCGCCUGAGGAUGAGCUCGCGUCUGAUUAGCUAGUUGGUGUGGUAAUGGCGCACCAAGGCUUCGAUCAGUAGCUGGUCUGAGAGGAUGAUCAGCCACACUGGAACUGAGACACGGACCAGACUCCUACGGGAGUCUGCAGUGGG